CUCAGUAACACGUGGACAAUCUGCCCUCGGGUGGGGGGAUAAUCUCGAAGAAAUUGAGAAUAAUACCCCAUAGGGGCCCGUUCGCUGGAACGCUACGGGUCCCAAAGCUGCGGCGCCCGAGAGAUGAGUCUGCGGGCUCAUCAGGUUGUAGUGAGUGUAACGGACUCACUAGCCGACAACGAGUACGGGCCUUGGAAGAGGUCGCCCGGAGAUGGACUCUGAGACACGAGUCCAGGCCCUACGGGGGCGCAGCAGGCGCGAAAACUUCGCAAUGCGGGAAACCGCGACGAGGGGAUUCCAAGUGCUCAUGUUUAUUCAUGGGCUGUUUUCCUGCCCAAAUAGCAGGGAGAGUAAGGGCUGGGUAAGACGGGUGCCAGCCGCCGCGGUAAUACCCGCAGCCCGAGUGGUGAUCGUUUUUAUUGGGCCUAAAGCGUCCGUAGCCGGCUCAGUAAAUCCUUGGGUAAAUCGGGCAGCUUAACUGUCCGACUUCCGGGGAGACUGCUGAGCUUGGGACUGGGAGAGGUCGGAGGUACUCCGGGGGUAGAGGUGAAAUUCUGUAAUCCUCGGGGGACCACCAGUGGGGAAGGCGUCCGACUUGAACGGGUCCGACGGUGAGGGACGAAGCCCUGGGGCACAAACCGGAUUAGAUACCCGGGUAGUCCAGGGUGUAAACGCUGCGGGCUUGGUGUUGGGGGUCCUACGUGGGCGCUCAGUGCCGGAGAGAAGGGGUUAAGCCCGCGGCCUGGGGAGUACGGUCGCAAGACUGAAACUUAAA
rnacentral:rRNA from 1 species